AGCGGCAACAGCUCAAAUUUGAAAUCUGGCCUCUUUGGGGUCCGAGUUGUAAUUUGUAGAGGAUGUUUCGGGUACCGCCCCGGUCUAAAUUUCUUGGAACAGAAUGUCAUAGAGGGUGAGAAUCCCGUCUUGGACCGGCGGUAGGGCCCAUGUGAAACUCCUUCGACGAGUCGAGUUGUUUGGGAAUGCAGCUCAAAAUGGGUGGUAAAUUUCAUCUAAAGCUAAAAUAUUGGCCAGAGACCGAUAGCGCACAAGUAGAGUGAUCGAAAGAUGAAAAGCACUUUGAAAAGAGAGUUAAACAGUAUGUGAAAUUGUUGAAAGGGAAGCGCUUACAACCAGACUUGAGCGCGACGGUUCCCCCUUCCUUUUGGUUGGGUUACUCCGUCGUGUCCAGGCCAACAUCGGUUCUGGGGGUUGGUUAAAGGCGCCGGGAAUGUAUCUACCCUUCGGGCGUAGACUUAUAGCUCGGCGUGUCAUGCGACCUCCCGGGACCGAGGAACGCGCUUCGGCUCGGAUGUUGGCGUAAUGGUUGUCAGCGACCCGUCUUGAAACACGGACCAAGGAGUCUAACAUCUAUGCGAGUGUUUGGGUGUCAAACCCGGAACGCGAAAUGAAAGUGAACGGAGGUAGGAAGCCUUUGGGCUGCACUAUCGACCGAUCCUGAUGUCUUCGGAUGGAUUUGAGUAAGAGCAUAGCUGUUGGGACCCGAAAGAUGGUGAACUAUGCCUGAAUAGGGUGAAGCCAGAGGAAACUCUGGUGGAGGCUCGCAGCGGUUCUGACGUGCAAAUCGAUCGUCAAAUUUGGGUAUAGGGGCGAAAGACUAAUCGAACCAUUAGAAAAGAUAACUACGUGCUAUCAGGUGGUUAAGUGUAACCUAAAAGGGGUUGCAAGUGCCUUAUUCUAGGCGCGACACUAUCAAAUUGCGGGGACGUCCUAAAGCUCGAGCUACCAAGCAUCACCGGAAACGGSGAUGUGGCCGGGGUAAUGACCUAGGGUAUGGUACCAACGCUCGAGAUGUGACAAUGGAUAAUCCGCAGCCAAACCCUAAGGGACCUCCGGGUCUGACGGGCGCAGUUCACAGACUAAAUGGUAGUGGGCCUUUCGGGGCUUAAGUUAUAGUCGAUCCCCUAGGGAAACCUAGGCGUACACGCUAAAUCUCUACUGUAGAAUAACCCUCCUCGGAGGGGCUGUAGGGACCUGAACGGUACGGUUACUCG
rnacentral:rRNA from 1 species